rnacentral:lncRNA from 1 species
GGAAAACCGUGCAAGCAUGGCUGUUACCAGUCCCCAGCAGUGCUGCUUUCAGAGGACUAAAAGGUCUGCCUGUUCCCAGUCUUCAAGUCAGCAGGGAAGAAGGAUGCAUGGAAGGUUUAAAGCUUUAAGGACCUUAUGUGGCCGGCAUCUGAGGGCCAAACCCCAGCCAACCUUUGAACUUCAAGCAAUGGAGAAGCAACAGUGCAGCUGCACUUGUACGGGUUUGAGCCUGUGCCCUGUGACUAAACAACAUCUAACUGAUGAAGGUCCAUUUAAACUGGAGAAAUCUCAUAAGAAAUGUCAAAGUCAGCUACCCAGAGGGAAUGAGAGAUAUGAAGAAUGGGAUGGAAAGCCAACAGCCUCAUCUAGAGCAUGCUUUGCUUAUGGAGCCAUCCAUUUCUGA